UAGCUAUGAUGUGGAAAUAAAUUCAAGAGAUCCUUAAAUCUCUCCUAGCAUUAAAAGAAAGUCUCUUCAUUCUUCUAGGCGAAAUUCAUGAUUGCCGUCCUUAAGGUG